rnacentral:lncRNA from 1 species
GGAGGGUACUUACUGUCGGACUUGUUUCGGAAGUUGGACGCUCGUGGCGUUUACCCGCAUUUGCUGAUUGUUCGACUUAAUCUUUUGUUGUUGGAGACUGCGCACCUCUUCCUCGUAACGAAUGAGGAGUCCCUCGUCCUCUCGUGCGCAGGAAGGCCACCCCACCCUCCGAAAACCAAUUCAGUUUCCUCAGUUGCAUCCACGGCAAUCACUCGAGCCGUUUCGACUCAAAGAUCUCAUCCGCCUCAAAAGUACAAUGUAUCCACAAGCCUCGUGGGUGAUGAUCACGUUGGCAUUUUCAAUAGCGACGCUGGAGGUGGCCUCAGAGGAGUACAAUGUUCAACGAAGAGAUGAUUUACGUUGUAAAUGUUCUGUCAACUGGUGCUUCAGUGUGAAUUUUGCACUGGAAGGCGACCGGUGCGAUUUGGGAAGCGGUCACGACAAAUACAGCUCGAAGUACUAACAUCUCGCAACGAUGUCUUGAUGAAUGAUUCUAGAAAUAAUGGCUUCUCAUACGAGCCAAGUCAAUACGUACCGCGCUUGAACAGUCAGAGCAAUGUGAGACAAAAAUUCCCUCUAGAAAUUAAUGAAUAGGCCAGUUUAGGUCUUUGAAAUUAAUGAAAAAUAAAAUGUCUCAAAAUUUUCAUAGAACUCUUCUUUCUAGAUUCUUUCUUCUUAUUCAUCGAAAAGAAACCUUUCAAAAAUGUUAUGCAAGAUCAUCUGUGAACCAGCUUCUUUUUCUAAUCCAAAAGUGCCCUUCGGAUAAAAAAACCGACCUACGUCAUCAAAAAAAUCUCAAGAUGCCCGAAAUGCAAACACCUUUUUUUUCUCUGGGCCUCCUCAGAGGCAGGAAAGAGAAGACUCUGGACUCCCAUUCCCAUUCAUCACUUUAAAAACCUUAAAUAUUUUAAUUCCUUGCUUCCACCACUUGAAAAUCGAUGAUCGAACCUUGUAGAUGUUUCGAAACAUCCCAGCUAACAUUUAAGUUGAUCUUUGGUGAUUAACAGGGCUUCUAAUUUUUCUUCACUCAUUGCUCUCCCAGGUUUUGCCUGAAGAACGUACUUAAAUAAUCUUAUUUUAGAUUUUGGUAAGUAUGCCCUAGUAGCAGACAUUCCAAUUUUGUAUAAAUUUUGUUUAGAUGAAAUUGGAAUUUUAUAGAUGCAACAAAAAAUGGGGGAAAAUGUCAAUUUAAUCGCGAUUUUAUUUCAAUUUGAUCUCGAUUUUUUUUUAAAAAAAAAAUUUCAAUUUUGUAGCGAUUUUGUAGCAAUUUUAUGCAAUCAAUAUUCAAUUUUUAUUCCAAUUUAUUUAUUUUUUUUAUAGCGAUGAAAUUGAAAUUUCAUGUCUUUUUAAUUGGAAUUGAACAGUAUUUUACUCAUUCAAAAUAUCUAACACAAAAAAAAACAAAAAUCAGAAAAUUAUAGAAACAACAUUCGUACUUUAUCGGAAUUAUUCAUAAGGUGCGCAACCUUCACACCCAAGAUUGCUGCCUCUUGCACAGUUAAUGCACCUUCAUGCCAGUAGUGCAAAUCGUCAAUUAACAAAAAUGAGCUGUGGAUUUCAUUUUGAUACAUGGCACUUGGGUAACAGUGCUUUUCUGAAACUGCUUCUGUGCAAUUUGAACGUUUUUCCUUAUUCAACUCCUAAUUUGAGAUUACUAAAUAACAAAAAUAUUUUUAUUUAAUUUUGAUAAAAUCCAGAUACCAUCUCAACAUAACCCUUAUGAAACUGUCCCAUAGGGUUUUCAUCAUUUUCCCAUGGGUUUUCACGGAAUCCCAUAGGAUUCUCGUGAAAACCCAUGGGAUCUGACUGGUUCCCAUGGGAUCGAUGAGAUUCUCAUGGGGAAUGAUGGAGACCUCAUGGGGAAUGAUGGAGACCUCAUGGGGAAUGAUGGAGACCUCAUGGGGAAUGACGGAGACCUCAUGGGGAACAACGAGGACCUCAUGGGGAACGACGGGAACCUCAUGGGGAUGGAGGGGGACCUCAUGGGGAUGGAUGAAGACCCUAUGAGGAUCAAUGGGGACCAUAGGGGACCCCGUGGGAACUGAUGGGGUGACGACCAAGGCUCAUAGGGCAACUAAGAGAGUUGAAUAGAGAACUUAAGAAAUUCCUAAGGGUCUGCUGGGAACCUAUCAGGCAAAACACGCAAAUCAGGACCUAUGGUUUUAUCUUAUUUUAGAGAAAGUAAGGAAUGCUGAUUAUAACAAAAUUUGAGGAACAAUUACUUUUAUCCCUGUUGAAUGAAAAAAAUAAAACGAAGCACCUACCUAAAAAAAUAAAAUAAAGUAAAUAAAUAAAAUAAAGUAAAUGAAUAAAAUAAAAUAGAUAAAUAAAUAAAAUAAAGUAAAUUAAUAGAAUAAAGUAAAGAAAUAAAAUAAAUUAAAUAAAUAAAUAAAAUAAAGUAGAUAAAUAAAAUAAAGUAGAUAGAUAAAAUAAAUUAAAUAAAUAAAAUAAAGUAAAUAAAUAAAUAAAGUAGAUAGAUAAAAUAAAUUAAAUAAAUAAAAUAAAGUAAACAAAUAAAAUACCUGAAGUCUAAAGCAAAUCAAUCUAAAAAAACACAAAAAGUAAAACAAAUGACGUAAAAUAAUAUAUUGAAGUGAAAGAAUAAAAUGACGUAAAAUAAUGCAUUAAAAUAAAAAUCAAACAAAUCUAUGUAAGUUGGUCGAGAUAUCCUGGCUGUCCGUUCAAUUAGAAACUAAAUGCGGGUUUUUCGUAUCUUCGUUCAAAUUCACGCCAUAGCUCAGUAGGUAGGAUUCUCGUCUUCGGUUAGGUAGGUCCCAGGUUCAAUUCCCGACGUAGGCAAAAAAAUUCUACACGUAAAUAACGAGAACUGUGUGCUCCUGUGCCCACAAAAGUCUCAUGGACCUUAUUUUUCGCGGUUUUAGAAAUUAUUAAUAAUAAAUUAAACACCCCCCCCCCCCCCAGGAAAUUGGCUCGAGGUUUUUCCCCAUGGGAUCAAUAAUGGCCCAUGGGGUAAAAAGUUCCCAUGGGGUAGUAAGUUCCCAUGGGGAUUCAACUUUCCCAUGGGGGAAAAACCCCGGGCCAAUUUCCGGUGGGGUUCAAAAACCCCAUGGGACAGUUUCAUAAGGAAUUGAAAUUUAAUAAGUAUUUAAUCGCUAUUAAAUUCAAAUAAAAAGGUGACUUCAAGAAGAUUUAAUUGGAAUGUAAUCGAAAUCUCAUCUCAAUAAAAUCGCAAUUAAAUUCUUGCAAAAUUUUCAGAAAAUUGUAAAGAAAUACGUGCUAAUGCUACUAGGGUGCCUAAAUUCGAAAAUAUUGUUUCGAAUAGUUAGGUCUUUUUUGCCUAAAUGCACUUCGUGCUUGGAUAGGUCUUUUAUGCCUAAAUACACUUUCGCCUAGAUACUUAGGACUUUCAUUCCUAAAUGCACACUCGCUUUAGGUAGGACUUUUUGUGAGCCAUGGAGGUGCAAGACCACUACAUGAACUCGGUUUGCAAGGUGUGUAGUUACAUCCCAAGUAGCAUUUUUCAAAGUUAAAGUUGCAAGAAGUUGAAACAAUAUUGGUUAAAAGUCGCAACUUAGUUGCAACUCUCAGUCAACAUUUGGUCGAUAAGUGCCGAUUUUCGGUGAUCUGAUCGGAAGAAAGUCGCAACUUACAGCAAUUGAAUUGCAUGAAUCUUGCAACUUAUCGACGUUGCCUAAAUCAUCCCUGUUAAAAAUGACCAUGUUGGUAAUAAGUUGGUCUGGCCUAACAUGGUAGCAACAGGGUGAAUGGAACCUGUUAUCAUAUAUGAUAUCAACAUGUUACCAAUAUGAUAUCACCACUGAAAAAAAAAGUUCCAAAAUGCGAAAUGCUUAAAUUUAGGCGCGCUGCACGUUCUUAGGCAUAAUUUUCAUCACGAACACCAGAGAAGUGCCGCUGAGAGAACCCGACAAUCAAUGUUCGCCAGAAUUAAGCCGCGCUGGCGCCCGAGUUCCCAAGCGGUCACCCAUCGAAGUACUUAACUACUACGCCCGACGUUGCUGAACUUCGGUGAUCGCCCGAGUGUCGCUGCCACUCCGCCACGGACGCUCGCGUGCGGGAGGAGGCUAAUUUAGCACUAAUAAACGUCCCCAGAUCUGAUUCAAUGAUUAGAAUAUGAUAUUCUUGCAAUUUUAUACAUCAUUCAGUCUCACAAUGAAGGAUACGAAAAUGAUAUAAGUAGAUCAAGUUUUUGAAAGAGGAGAGUACGAACAACACAUGAAAAAAAUAAAAUAAAAUAUGGACGGAUUAGUAAAAUGAAAAUAUUAAAAAAGAAUUAAGAUAAAUAAAUAAUAUAAAUUAAUGAAAAAUGAUUAAUAAUUGACUUACUUUCUUUCUUUUUUCCUUUCU